AAAAAAUAGAGUCAUGAAAGACCCUACUGCCCACAUAAGGUUCCAUAUCCAAGAGUCCAAGCGACGCUCCAAGGGCCAUGCAAUCGAUGCCUAGGCAACAACAGUAUGGGCCAUAGAGACCGCUUCAAGGUUCGCUCAACGCCGCAAGCGACGCGUUACGAAAAAACAAAUUGAUCUAUCCACACGAUGCCCUUGAUUGGGUAUGCAACACAGAACACCCACCGAAUGCACAAGACAAUUAGAGCCUUGUAGCACAACUGAAGAGGCUUGCCUGCGUGGAAGUUGCUGCUUUUGCAGACAUCCAACCAC
rnacentral:misc_RNA from 1 species